rnacentral:rRNA from 1 species
AGGGAUUCGUCCCCGGUAGCGUGGCGUCCGGGUGAGUAACACGUAGGAAAUCUUCCCUAGAGCGGGGGAUAACGUCCCGAAAGGGACGCUAAUACCGCAUAAGCCCACGUCGACUCCGGUCGAAGAGGGAAAAGCUGGCCACUGUAUACAAGCUAGCACUUUAGGAUGAUCCUGCGGCGCAUCAGCUAGUUGGUGGGGUAAUGGCCCACCAAGGCUUAGACGCGUAGCUGGUCUGAGAGGAUGAUCAGCCACACUGGCACUGAAACACGGGCCAGACUCCUACGGGAGGCAGCAGUGGGGAAUAUUGGACAAUGGGCGCAAGCCUGAUCCAGCCACGCCGCGUGAGUGAUGAAGGCCUUCGGG